AGAGAGAAAGGGAAAGGGAAAGGAAAAGAGAGAUAGAGAUAGUGUAUAGAUAUAGAAAAAGAAGGGAGAGGAUAGUGGGGCGGAAAUUGAUGUGGGUUUUAUAAGUGCGGUGAUUUCAUACGCCUACCUUUCCAAGUAACCCAUUUUAUCUCUGUCUCGUUCUACCAUCUCAGUUUUCAGUGUCUUUCGUUUAGUGGUAUCCGCUUAGCGGAUAGAUGUCAUAUCCAUGAGCCAGGUUGCCUUCUUGAAAGGUGCAUGUCUACAUUCCAUGUGUCGACACGCUGCAUUUCCGCGGCUAAAAUCGCAAGCGCAUACGGCGAUAGAUCGUACUAAGAGAAAACUCGUUUACAGCGCAGGUACUACACGGAUACGACGAUUUUAGAAUCGGUCUCUAAACUAGAGAAAGAAGAGGAAGAAGAAGAGAACGACGCGAUUAUGUGUGUCAUGAAAUUGGAACGUAGUAGCUUAUAAAAGCUUUAUACUUGAUUAAAUGGACGUAGAUGUAGAAUGUUCAAUAUGACGUAGCUUAUUUAAAAAGAUAUUCAAAAAGCCUCGGUGCGCAAUGCGACAUUUACGUAAAAUAUAUUGGCUAUUUUGGGUGGGUCUACCAACACUCACAGCAUAUCCUCUAUCAACGCCGUAUUUAACAGAUUCGCAAAACGAUCAAGAAUCAUUACAAUGGGAACGUUAUUGGAUAAGAUAUACGGUUACUCUUUUGAGUUUAACCAUUGCUGCUUUUGCUAUCAUUGGAUGUUUAUGCUGCAGAAGACCAAGGCGUACUAUUGGAUUUCAGGACAAAGCAGGAAAAUGUAAACAGGAAUUCAAGAAUGGAAGCAGCACAGGCCCAGAGUUACCAUUUGAACAAUCAGUAGAAGGUUUAGCGAUAGAUGUUCCACGAAUGAUAGCAUUGACAGACAGAGUACAAUUUGAACCUCUACCAGUUGACCGAAUUGUAUCAGGACCAAAGGUUCCUUCUCCAACAAAACCAUCUUCCAUUUCACAUUUAUCUUUUACGGGAGAAUUUAAUGAAGAUAAUGCUAUGUUACAAAAGCCUUGUAAGGAAUGGUUCGAAGCUGAAGAUCUUUAUGUACCUAGAGAAAAAUUAAAAUAUUUAAGAGAACUAGGACGUGGUUGGUUUGGCAAAGUUGUAGAAGGUCGUGCAGAUUUAGAUCAAUCGAAAGGAGCAUUGAAAAAUGGUGGGGUUGUUGUAAGAAUUUUGGCAGAAGAAGCUACGAUGAAAGAGAAAGCUUGGUUCCUAGGAGAAGCUACACCAUAUCUUAAAUUACACCAUCAAAAUGUUUUAGCAUUACUUGGUUUUUGUUUAGAAACUGAUCCAUAUUUAUUAUUAUUUGAGUCUUGUCCUGCUGGUGAUCUUAAAGGAUUUUUAUUAUCAAAUCAUGAUAAAAAAUCUCAAGAAGCAUUAUUAAAAGAAAAUGUUCCCACUAGAAUGGCAUUGGAAAUAGCUGCUGGUUUACAACAUAUGCACAAUCAUGGUUUUGCUCAUACCGAUUUAUCGGCAAGAAAUUGUUUGGUUGCUCCAGAUUUAUCUGCAAAAUUAGGAGAUUAUGGAACUGGUGUUGAAAAAUAUCCUGAGGAUUAUUACAUUGUUGGAGAUCGUGCUUUACCUAUUAGAUGGUCCGCACCUGAGAGUUUAGACUGUACUGAUACUACUAUUGAAACUCGUCAAAUUACAUUACAAGCAAACAUAUGGAAUUAUGCUGUACUCUUAUGGGAAAUUAUUAACUGGGGUAAUAGACCUUAUGAUAAUAUGUGCGACGAGGAAGUUAUACAAAUGCUUUUAUCUCUUAAAACUGAUUUUUCACUAAACAAUGUGCAACCAUUGCAUAACUGUCCUGAAAAUAGUCCCUCCAAUAUAUUACACGUAAUACGCACAUGUCUAAAUACAGAUGCAAAAAAGAGGCCUUCUUUAAAUGACAUAAGACAAAAUUUACUUACCGAACAUAUAGAACAAGAAGAUUUUGAACAAUGGGAAAAUUUACAACAAACAAAUACAUCAAUUAAUCAUACACGAAGUGCUAGUUUACAAAAUCUUCGUGGCAGUAUUGAUUCUGAUCAUUGGACAAGUGUGAUCAAUGAGAAACCAUUAGAAACAUUACAAUCUUCUUUUCGACUUGGACCAGAUGAACCGGUUAAAAAUGUUAUGAAAGUGGACAAUUUAUUUAAUACAACACAAGAAUCAGGAUCUGAAACUGAAGAAGAAAGUUGGAGAGGUAGAAUCGAACGAGGAGUUUAUACAGAAAAAGUUAAACAAAAAUCUAAAUCGGUAACUGAUCUUAUGGUACUCGUACAUAUUGAUCCAGAAUCAGAUGGGGAAUUAUCUAUGGGUACACAAAUGACAGAGAAAACUAUUAAGAAAAGAUUAUCCACCACUGGUAGUGAUAGUGAUCUAACACGUAACAUGAUUGUGGAUGAAUUUGACGAAGCAUUAAGAAAAUUAAGAAAUCCUAUACAAGGUGGUGAUGUAUCUAAUAAAACUAAUAAAUCAAUAAACAAUUUAGAAAAACCAAAACUUCUGACAUUAACUAUGGAUCAGGAACAAACACCGAUCCUAAGGUUAUCAUUGGAUUCUAAAGAAGAUUCUAUUGUUAGUAAUAAUCUUUCUGUUUUAAAUACAAGUGCAGACAGUGUACGUAGCGAAGAACAUAUAUUAAGAUUAUUAUCAAAAGGUGAUCCAAAUCUUCCUCUUCUUCGUUAUGUUCCUGAUUGCAAAUCUUCUUGUGUAGUUUUGGAGGAUAAAAGUGAAACUCAAUCUGAUAACACUACUAUUAAUAAUGAAAAUAAUGAAUCUUGUUUUUCUAACAAUUUCUCAUUUCAAAACCUUGAUACUAAUCAGAAUAAUUUGGUAGACGUUCUUCUUUGGAAUCAUGCGCUUGAUUCAGCAUUGGAACACAAAAUACCAGGAUUUUCAGAUGAAGGUGAAUUUAAGGAAUUCAUAGAACCUACUGUAAAUCAAGAGAAUAAUGCUACUUUGGAACUUUCUAUGUCUACUAAUGUUGCAGAAGAUAAUGAACAAUUUGAUAAAGAAAAUUCUGUCUACAACCUUAAUGAUUUAUCAAAUACUGAAGAUAUAGGAAUCGUUCGUAAAGUUUUGAUUAAUGAAUACGAAGAAAGAAAACAUUUAUCUACACCUGAUGAUGAACAAAGUUCAGAUUCUGGUUUUAGAGACAAAGAAUCUUGCGAAGAGGAAGAAAGUAUGUGUCCACCUUGUGAUCAAACGAGUUCUCAUGACAACACAUCUGUUACACAUGUGCCUACAACUGAAGAUGAACAGCUACAAGUUUUAUUAGAACUCGAUACUAUUUUAGAUGCUGAAUAUUAUUCAGUACUUCCUGAAUCUGAUAAUUCUGUAGUAACGAAUGACACAAACAAUAAAACAAAAUAUGAAAAUUCAAAUAUAACAGAUAUAGAAGGUCAAAAUACCAAUAGUAUUUUAUCAAAUGAAAUUACUACAAACACAUAUGUAGAACAAGAUGAAGAAAUUGGCACUCAAUAUUUAAAUAAGGAUGAUCUUAUGGAAGAUGAAGAUCUAAAACUCACAAGUAAUAUACAAAAUGGUGAUCUUAUAGCAUCUAGUGAUUAUUAUGACGAUACAAAUAGUUAUGUAACCAAAAAUUCCAAAGAAAGCAACAUUUCUUCCCUUGAUACAAAUAUAAGAAGUAAUACUGAUGAAGGUACAGAAAAUUAUAUACAAGAUGAAAAUGGACAUGAAAAUGAGGAGGAAGAUAGCUCAACUAUGAGCAUGUGUAGCGACAACUCUUAUGUAUCUUUUGGCAUGGAAGAAGAAUUUGUCACGGCAAUUAGAAAUGAGCUUAGAGAAAAACUUCCACGUGCACAAAUGCCUAUAGUGGAACCGUCCGAACCACGUGAUGAAGAAAUUUCUUCUAUUACCAGCGAUAUUGAAAAUAAACGUUGGGACGAUGAUGAUAAUGAAGAAUCUCCAGAUCGAAGUACUAGCAGUAUAGAUAUUUCUAUCAGAUAUAAUCUUUAUGGAACACCGUUAAGUCCUAUUUUAGAAGAACGAGAAAGCACCGCAACUUCUGAGUCUUUAUUAUCAAAUUCAAGAGAUGCAUCUAUUGUAUCUAAAGAAUCAGUACCAUCUGAAGAUGUUUUGUUAGUUGAUACUAGAACAAAUAAAAUGAUAUUGUUAGAGGGAUCAAGAGAAAAACAAUUACAAGAUGAUGAUCAUGAUACAACUAAUGGAGACAUUUCUGAAGAAGAAAAUGUUGAAUAUAGUUCAUCAUCGAUGCAUACAUUCGAUGAUAAACCUCAUGCUAUGAUUGCAAUUGGAGGAGCACCAUUACCAAGUCCUGAAGAAGAAACCAAAUGGCAACAAUUACCUUCUUCUUUUCCAUUACCUUUACCUUUACCUUUACAAGAUGAUUUAAUGUCUACAAGUUUUGCUACAGAACGUGAUUGGGAUAGUCAAGACGAUGAUGAAGUAGGAGACGAAGAAGGGGAAGAUGAGGACAACAGCUCUAGCUCAGGUGAAUUUGUUUGGAAGAGAUACAGUGAACCACAUGCGGAACAAUUACAAAUCAGAAGUACUAUGAGCAAUGAAAAAUUAGAAGUAGAACAGAAUGACAAUGCAAAAGAAGAGGUUGUUGAUGCAGAAGACGAAGAAGAAGAAGAAUUUACACCAUCUGCUUGGAAUGCAACAUUAGCACCACAUAGGUCUGCAUUAAGGUCUCCAGAUAAAACAUUAAAAAGCGGAGACGAAUUGGUAGGUGUGUCAAUCAUUUAAACACAGAACAAAGCAUGUCUUUUAAUCUCCUUCUCGUGAUCCUUUCUCUUGCAGAUUUAAUUUGAGGAUCAAAAGAAGAGUGUAUGGUUCAAGAAACAACGCUAUCAUUGUGUAUAUGAGUAUCCAAAAGAAACAUUAGCUAAUGACAUC
rnacentral:misc_RNA from 1 species